CAAUAGCGUAUAUUUAAGUUGUUGCAGUUAAAAAGCUCGUAGGCGGAUUUUGGCUGAGAACGAACGGUCCGCCGUUAGGUGUGCACUGUUUGGUCUCAGCUUCCUGGUGAGGAGGUGUGCUUCACGGCCACUUAGUCACCGUGGUUACUUUGAAAAAAUUAGAGUGUUCAAAGCGGGCUUACGCUUGAAUAUAUUAGCAUGGAAUAACACCAUAGGACUCCUGUCCUAUUUCGUUGGUCUCGGGACGGGAGUAAUGAUUAAGAGGAACAGUUGGGGGCAUUCGUAUUUCAUUGUCAGAGGUGAAAUUCUUGGAUUUAUGAAAGACGAACUUCUGCGAAAGCAUUUGCCAAGGAUGUUUUCAUUGA
rnacentral:rRNA from 1 species